AAUUUGUGUAUAAAGUCAUUAUUUGUUUUACCUCAUGUACAUAUAAUAUCAAUUAAAUCAAACCAACUUCAAGAAGCAGAUUGUACAAUAUUUCUUCACAAAAUAAUCAAUCUGGUAUACUGAAUAAAAUAUUGAAUGUUGUUCUUAAAAUACAUUAUGAUGUUGAGUCUUCUUUUUGUCAUAUGACAAAAACAAUUACAAUUAGAGCAGUCCUUGGUAUUAGCAGUACAAAAUACUAUUGAAAAAAUUGGACUUACAAGGCAUGAAUCAGAAGUGGAAGCUAAAGAUAUUUAUUCUUUAAUUCCAAACACUAAUGAUGAAUAAUUGAUUUUUUUUUUUUUUUUUUUUAAAAAAAAAAUNUAA